rnacentral:rRNA from 1 species
AUUGAACGCUGGCGGCAUGCUUUACACAUGCAAGUCGAACGGCAGCACGGGUGCUUGCACCUGGUGGCGAGUGGCGGACGGGUGAGUAAUACAUCGGAACGUGUCCGGAAGAGGGGGAUAACGCAUCGAAAGAUGUGCUAAUACCGCAUAUGCUCUGAGGAGGAAAGUAGGGGAUCGAAAGACCUUACGCUUUUGGAGCGGCCGAUGUCUGAUUAGCUAGUUGGUGGGGUAAGGGCCUACCAAGGCGACGAUCAGUAGUUGGUCUGAGAGGACGACCAGCCACACUGGGACUGAGACACGGCCCAGACUCCUACGGGAGGCAGCAGUGGGGAAUUUUGGACAAUGGGCGCAAGCCUGAUCCAGCAAUGCCGCGUGAGUGAAGAAGGCCUCGGUUGUAAGACGUACUUUCUAGUCGAGAAGAAAAGGACGUAGCAGUGAAUAACUAGUAGUUUA